UACAACAAUUGCUAAAGGAACUUCUGUAAACAGAAAAGAAGAGGCAACAGCUAGAAACAGGAAAAUUACAAAAUGGUAAAGCUCACCAGUACAGGUGAACAUACAGUAAGGGUAGGAAAUCAUCUACACACAAAUACGGUAUCAAAACAGUAAUUGUGAGAGAAGGAGAGCAAAAAUGCAGGAUAUUUGAGAUGCAUUUGAAAUUAAGAGACCAGCAACUUAAAACAAUCAUGUAUACAUAUAGACUGCUAUAUCAAAACCACAUGGUAACCACAAAUGAAAAAUCUAAAAUAGAU